rnacentral:lncRNA from 1 species
AUCUCAAAUUUUCUUCAUAAGGGUGAAUGUGUCAAGACAUGUUCUAACUUUGUUCUUCGGCUAUAUCUCUAUAUCAGUUUUCUUUCUUACUUCUCUUGCGAGUUCUCUUACAAUCUUCUCUCUUUCAUAAAGAAUACUAGAUUUGUUUUAUUCUAGUUUACCCCUCACUUGGCUACUUCUAUUUUUGGAGGAUUUUUCUACAAGAUUUUUCUAUUUCUUUUGGAAAUAUACAUUGAAAUUCAUGAGA